UGCGUAGGCGGCGCGGUAAGUCGGGUGUGAAAUCUUGGAGCUUAACUCCGAAACUGCAUUCGAUACUGCCGUGCUUGAGGACUGGAGAGGAGACUGGAAUUUACGGUGUAGCGGUGAAAUGCGUAGAUAUCGUAAGGAAGACCAUGGCGAAGGCGGGUCUCUGGACAGUUCCUGACGCUGAGGCACGAAGGCCAGGGGAGCAAACG
rnacentral:rRNA from 1 species